rnacentral:rRNA from 1 species
ACCUGCAGUCGACGGUAGCACAGAAGCUUGCUCUCGGGUGAGGAGUGGCGGACGGGUGAGUAAUGUCUGGGAAACUGCCUGAUGGAGGGGGAUAACUACUGGAAACGGUAGCUAAUACCGCAUAACGUCGCAAGACCAAAAAGGGGGACCUUCGGGCCUCUUGCCAUCAGAUGUGCCCAGAUGGGAUUAGCUAGUAGGUGGGGUAACGGCUCACCUAGGCGACGAUCCCUAGCUGGUCUGAGAGGAUGACCAGCCACACUGGAACUGAGACACGGUCCAGACUCCUACGGGAGGCAGCAGUGGGGAAUAUUGCACAAUGGGCGCAAGCCUGAUGCAGCCAUGCCGCGUGUGUGAAGAAAGCCUUCGGGUUGUAAAGUACUUUCAGCGGGGAGGAAGGAGAUGUGGGGAAUAACCCCGGCAAUUGACGUUACCCGCAGAAGAAGCACCGGCUAACUCCGUGCCAGCAGCCGCGGUAAUACAGAGGGUGCAAGUGUUAAUCUCAAUUACUGGGCGUAUAUUUCUCGCAUACGGUCUGUUUACUCCGAUGUGUUAUCCCCCAGCUCAA